rnacentral:rRNA from 1 species
GCGCGCGCAGGCGGCCUUUUAAGUUGGAUGUGAAAGCCUAUGGCUCAACCAUAGAACUGCAUCCAAAACUAUCAGGCUAGAGUGUGGGAGAGGAAGAUGGAAUUAGUUGUGUAGGGGUAAAAUCCGUAGAGAUAACUAGGAAUACCAAAAGCGAAGGCAAUCUUCUGGAACAUUACUGACGCUGAGGCGCGAAAGCGUGGGGAGCAAACAGGAUUAGAUACCCUGGUAGUCCACGCCCUAAACGAUGAAUGUUAGUCGUCGGGUAGCUAGUCUAUUCGGUGAUGCAGCUAACGCAUUAAACAUUCCGCCUGGGGAGUACGGUCGCAAGAUUAAAACUCAAAGGAAUAGACGGGGACCCGCACAAGUGGUGGAGCAUGUGGUUUAAUUCGAAGAUACGCGAAGAACCUUACCUAGCCUUGACAUAUUUUAGAACACUUUAGAGAUAGAGUGGUGCCUUCGGGAGCUAAUAUACAGGUGCUGCACGGCUGUCGUCAGCUCGUGUCGUGAGAUGUUGGGUUAAGUCCCGCAACGAGCGCAACCCUCGUCACUAGUUACUAACGGUUCGGCCGAGGACUCUAGUGAGACUGCCUUCGCAAGGAGGAGGAAGGUGAGGACGACGUCAAGUCAUCAUGGCCCUUACGGCUAGGGCAACACACGUGCUACAAUGGCCAGGACAAUGAGAAGCGAUACCGCGAGGUGGAGCAAAUCUAUAAACCUGGUCUCAGUUCGGAUUGUAGUCUGCAACUCGACUACAUGAAGCUGGAAUCACUAGUAAUC